rnacentral:tRNA from 1 species
UUUAUAUGGUUUAAUCCUAAAACCUUACAUUUUCAAUGUAAAAUUAACGUUUAUAAAAUCGUUUAUAAAUAC